rnacentral:tRNA from 1 species
GCACAUAAGUCCGAAUGGUGAGGGCCUCCCCUGAUAAGGGAGUGGUAGAAGGUUCGAUUCCUUCUGUGUGCACCA